UGAGUAACCUGCCCUUCACUCUGGGAUAACUCCGGGAAACCGGGCUAAUACUGAAUAUGACUCGAACAGGCAUCUGUUUCGGGUGGAAAGAUUUUAUUGGUGGAGGAUGGACUCGCGGCCUAUCAGCUUGUUGGUGAGGUAAUGGCUCACCAAGGCGACGACGGGUAGCCGGCCUGAGAGGGCGAUCGGCCACACUGGGACUGAGACACGGCCCAGACUUCUACGGGAGCA
rnacentral:rRNA from 1 species